rnacentral:rRNA from 1 species
AAUGAACGCUGGCGGCAGGCCUAACACAUGCAAGUCGAGCGAAGAGUCCGGAUCUUGCGGCGGACGGGGGAGUAAGGCGUGGGGAUGUGCACUUGUCUACGGCAUAGCUCUGGGAAACUGGGAGCUAUGACGUAUAGGCCCUUUUGGGGAAAGAUUUAUCGGAGAAGGAUCAUCACGCGUUGUAUUAGGUUGUUGGUUGGGUAAUGGCCUACCAAGCGGGUGAUUCGUAGCUGGUUGUAGAGGAUGAUCAGCCAGUCUGGGACUGAGACACAGCCCAGACUCCUACGGGAGGGGGGAAUGGGGAAUCGUAGACAAUGGCGUCAACCCUGAACUACCCAUGCCGGGUGAAUGCUGUAGGCCUUGAGGUUGAAAUGCUCUUGCAGCUGGGAAGAUCAUGACGGUACCUGCAGAAGAAGCCCCGGCUAACUACGUG